rnacentral:lncRNA from 1 species
AGCGAAUGGGUAUAAAUAACCCAAUCCACACCCAAACCCUAACCCUAGCCGCUAGAGCCCAUCGCCGGAGAAGACAGCCCAAUCGCUGGGUAGCCGACAACCGCCACCAGUCGCUGCACCGAAGCAAUUUUUGACCGCCAAACGAGGUAAAAUUUUUUCUUCUUGCACGAAAUUCAAUUUCAAACCCACCCAUGACCAAAAUUGGAGUGAAAGAAUCAGUCAAUUAGCCAAAAAAUACCACCGAAGCUCGUCGGCGCCACCAGAGGGUGUUUCAGAAAACGUCUCCAAUGAGGCUCUUCU